rnacentral:rRNA from 1 species
UACGUCGGGGGCAAGCGUUGUCCGGAAUCAUUGGGCGUAAAGCGCGUGUAGGCGGCUCGAUAAGUCCGCUGUGAAAGUCCAGGGCUCAACCCUGGGAUGCCGGUGGAUACUGUCGAGCUCGAGUCCGGAAGAGGCGAGUGGAAUUCCUGGUGUAGCGGUGAAAUGCGCAGAUAUCAGGAGGAACACCUAUGGCGAAGGCAGCUCGCUGGGACGUGACUGACGCUGAGACGCGAAAGCGUGGGGAGCAAACAAG